UUCCGGUAGACGAUGGGGAUGCGUUCCAUUAGAUAGUAGGCGGGGUAACGGCCCACCUAGUCUUCGAUGGAUAGGGGUUCUGAGAGGAAGGUCCCCCACAUUGGAACUGAGACACGGUCCAAACUCCUACGGGAGGCAGCAGUGAGGAAUAUUGGUCAAUGGGCGAGAGCCUGAACCAGCCAAGUAGCGUGAAGGAUGACUGCCCUAUGGGUUGUAAACUUCUUUUAUAAAGGAAUAAAGUCGGGUAUGCAUACCCGUUUGCAUGUACUUUAUGAAUAAGGAUCGGCUAACUCCGUGCCAGCAGCCGCGGUAAUACGGAGGAUCCGAGCGUUAUCCGGAUUUAUUGGGUUUAAAGGGUGCGUAGGCGGCCUUUUAAGUCAGCGGUGAAAGUCUGUGGCUCAACCAUAGAAUUGCCGUUGAAACUGGGGGGCUUGAGUAUGUUUGAGGCAGGCGGAAUGCGUGGUGUAGCGGUGAAAUGCAUAGAUAUCACGCAGAACCCCGAUUGCGAAGGCAGCUUACUACACUACCGCUGACGCUGAAGCACGAAAGCGUGGGUAUCAAACAGGAUUAGAUACCCUGGUAGUCCACGCAGUAAACGAUGAAUACUAACUGUUUGCGAUACACAGUAAGCGGUACAGCGAAAGCGUUAAGUAUUCCACCUGGGGAGUACGCCGGCAACGGUGAAACUCAAAGGAAUUGACGGGGGCCCGCACAAGCGGAGGAACAUGUGGUUUAAUUCGAUGAUACGCGAGGAACCUUACCCGGGCUUGAAAGUUAGCGACGAUUCUUGAAAGAGGAUUUCCCUUCGGGGCGCGAAACUAGGUGCUGCAUGGUUGUCGUCAGCUCGUGCCGUGAGGUGUCGGGUUAAGUCCCAUAACGAGCGCAACCCCUACCGUUAGUUGCCAUCAGGUGAAGCUGGGCACUCUGGCGGGACUGCCGGUGUAAGCCGAGAGGAAGGUGGGGAUGACGUCAAAUCAGCACGGCCCUUACGUCCGGGGCUACACACGUGUUACAAUGGGGGGUACAGAAGGCAGCUACACAGCGAUGUGAUGCUAAUCCCAAAAGCCUCUCUCAGUUCGGAUUGGAGUCUGCAACCCGACUCCAUGAAGCUGGAUUCGCUAGUAAUCGCGCAUCAGCCAUGGCGCGGUGAAUACGUUCCCGGGCCUUGUACACACCGCCCGUCAAGCCAUGAAAGCCGGGGGUACCUGAAGUACGUAACCGCAAGGAGCGUCCUAGGGUAAAACUGGUAAUUGGGGCUAAGUCGUAACAAGGUAGCCGUACCGGAU
rnacentral:rRNA from 1 species